GAUGAACGCUGGCGGCGUGCCUAAUACAUGCAAGUCGAGCGAACGGACGAGAAGCUUGCUUUUCUGAUGUUAGCGGCGGACGGGUGAGUAACACGUGGAUAACCUACCUAUAAGACUGGGAUAACUUCGGGAAACCGGAGCUAAUACCGGAUAAUAUUUUGAACCGCAUUGUUCAAAAGUGAAAGACGGUCUUGCUGUCACUUAUAGAUGGAUCCGCUCUGCAUUAGCUAGUUGGUAAGGUAACGGCUUACCAAGGCAACGAUGCAUAGCCGACCUGAGAGGGUGAUCGGCCAAACGGGAACUGAGAAAGGGUCAAGACUCCUAGGGGAGGAAGAAGAAGGGAAUCUUCCGCAAUGGGGGAAAGCCUGACGGAGAAACGCGGCGUGAGUGAUGAAGGUCUUCGGAUCGUAAAACUCUGUUAUUAGGGAAGAAAAUAUGUGUAAGUAAAUGUGCACAUCUUGACGGUACCUAAUCAGAAAGCCACGGCUAACUACGUG
rnacentral:rRNA from 1 species